UCGAACGAACAACAUCGAACUGCGUAUUAUCUCUCAAAGUAUGUACGAUCGCGACAAAUAAUCAUUCUUUCUAUGUUUAUAUUACAAUUAUCAUUAUUUAGAGAUUAUCAAACUGUCAAAUCUAAUUAAUUUUUGUGAUUAUCGCAUCUCAACUGUCCAUUGAUUCGCGUAAUUAAUGCUUCGUAGUAAUAAAAUUGUCGAUAUUGUUUUUUCGAAUUUUUCAGUCAUUGACAAAAUUUCGCGGAUAUCAAUUGAUAUCGAAUUGAUUCGACGCGUUUAAUAAGUUGUUAAUUAACGCCGAAUACUUGAAUAAACAAUAUUUAUCAAUUUUAUAAUUUCGGCGUUUGAUUAUUGAAACAUGUGUUGAUAUAUGAAUUUUACAUUCAAAUCGACAAAACGAUUCUUGAAUAUUAUAUAUUCUAUGAAUAUUUACUUUUGAUUUUUACUUCAUCUAUUCGCUUGUAUUAUAAUGAGAGAUAGUAAUAUCGUUGUAAAAGAGCGUGCGUAUACUAUUUAGUUAAUUAACCACAGAGAUAGCAUUGUGUGAAUUUAAUCGCGUGAUUUUCCGAACGAAUCGCAGCUUCGUGUUUAACUGUGAUUAUCCUCUUGUCAUAAUAUAAAAUAAAGUGCGCGUCAUGUACGAUUAACAUCGAAAGUGUUAUAUAAAGUGCCGCGUGACCGUUGUAUUCUGUUAAAUAGUGCACGCGCGUAAUUAAUCGUGUUUUCGCGAAUGAGUGUCCUGUGAAUAUGAAGGAGCAGCAAAGAACAAACACAAGAGAGGAAGAGAUCUGAUAAGGCAUCGAGCCAUGGAGCAACCAUGGGGGAAAGAAAUAAGAGAGAAAAGUAGCGAAUUCUCUCACACGGCUACAACAGUCGGCCAUCUUUGGGUAACGUUAUAGAGAAGCAGCGUGUAGCAGCAGCGUCAAAAAGAGGGAGAAGUACGGAGAAACAACGGGAGAAAGAACGGUGGGUGGAUGGAUUAUUAAUUACCGAGAAUUAUGAGCGAAGCGCGGGAAUAGGCUGUGGGUGGCGAUGGCGAUGGCGAACGGCGUCGUAGGCGGAGGGCGGCGGACGGAAGGCUGGGAAGAAAGGCGCAGGCACCCCUCUCAGAUUUGUGUUUUCAAUUAAUUUCCGUAAAUUAAGAACGAUUGUGUAAGAAGAGAUUAGUGACCGCUGGCCGUGCUUUCGAAAGCUGUAAAGAUAAAUGGAGAAGGCCGCUCCGAGUGCUCCGGUUUCUCGAGUGUGGCGCGAAGUAAUUAAACAACUCGAUAAACU